rnacentral:rRNA from 1 species
UACGUAGGGGGCGAGCGUUGUCCGGAAUUAUUGGGCGUAAAGCGCGCGCAGGCGGUCUUGUAAGUCCCGUUGUGUAAGACCGGGGCUCAACCCCGGGUUGCAAGGGAAACUGCAGGACUUGAGUGCGGGAGAGGGAAGCGGAAUUCCAUGUGUAGCGGUGAAAUGCGUAGAGAUAUGGAGGAACACCAGUGGCGAAGGCGGCUUCCUGGUCCGUAACUGACGCUGAGGCGCGAAAGCGUGGGGAGCAAACAGG